CAGUUAUCCAUGAGAACAGGCUGCCAGAUAAAGUGCAGAACAACUAAUUAAAUGUGAAUCUCAAACAAACAUUGAAAUUUUUAGUGUUUUCAGGUGCUGGUUCCAUGGCUCUUCCUGAGCCGAAAAUAAGGAAACUCCAUAGACCUUGUCCACUGGAACUCGUUCCCAUCUACCCUCCACUCUAUCCAGCCCCAUGAGGACAAGGAACAUGAUUGGUUUUGCUCACUGCCGUAUCUUCCGUACCUAGUACGUAACAGGACAUCAAUAAAUAUUAGUUGAAUGGAAGAUUAAAUCAACAAAAUGCAUUUACAGUUUCAAGAGUUUGUGUCACAAUUAGAAGAAUUCAGCUGCACCUCCAAGUGACAGCAGUUGCUCUGGUUGGUGGGUGAUCUCAGGAGGCUUGAGAAUUGCUUUGUCUGUGAGGGAAGUAAGACAUUUUCAGAGCCCCACUUUAGAAGGUGUGAACUGGCUAGAUAAUGAACCCCAGGGCUAACGCUGCUAUAGCAGUGGGAAGGAGGUGAUGGGUUUUCAGUUUGGACCUCAAACAUCAAUACCCUCCUGGUACGGGGAGGAACAGAGUCCCUCCUUUACUUCUCCAUUAGAAAGAAUGAGAUGGCAAGACAAUGAAACAGGCAAAGUGAACAGAGAUGCAAGACAAAAUUCAGGUGAGAGAGCCAGAGCAUCACUCAGCCAUUCCUGACAUGUAAAACAGGCAACUAGAAAUUUGCAGAAAGGAAGCGAAGUCUCCAUAAAGAUGUUUUUAAAGUGAGCUUGAAGUAUUUGGAGACAAUUCAGUGUUACAUAAAAUCUGCAAAUCUCUGGAUAAAGAAGCAGAGAUCCCAGCAUGGGACAAAUGGAGCCUCAAAAGUGGGAAGAAGACAGAGAAGACCAGGGCAGAAUGCAUCUCUUCCUUUCUCUUGGCUUUCCUGGAUAAGGACUGCAUCAUUCCUGUGGAAGGACAGGCCAUCAGCUCCGAAACACUGUAUGUAUUUUCCAGUAUAUACUGCUAGCUGUGUGAUGUUGGGAAAAUUUGUUACCCUGUCUAACCCCCACUUCCCUCAUCUGUAAAAUGGAAAUAAUGAUAGUACCUACCUAUCUCAUAGGUGGCAACUACAAGGGGCAGCACACUCAGGGAAUUAAGGAAGUUUCAGUGAACAUCAACUUUAUGAACACAGUGUUCAUAAAGGCAGGUCAGUGCAGUGGUUUGGGAGCCAGGAGAAGCACGUGGGCCGGAGUGUGCCUGCAGGAGACAAGGUCAGAGAUGUUGCUAAUAAUGGAGAAUAAAGGAUGCAUUCUCAUUACU
ensembl:lncRNA ARLNC1 androgen receptor regulated long noncoding RNA 1